CUCACAUGGUCUCUUCAUACAGACUCUCAGUGAAGACAGUUCCUCCUGCAGCACAGAGAACCUGGACCAUGUCUCCAGCUGUCAUCACAUUGCUUCUCCUCUCACUAUCAUAUGGAGCUGAGAGUGUGGAGUUUGAGCCGACUCAUCCCAGAAUAGUCAACGACAAAGCCAGGGAAGAAAUUAAAUGCAGUCACAAUGAUAACGGCAUGAAUGUAAUGCUGUGGUACCAACAAACAGAGAGAGGUCUGAUGAAAUUAAUUGGAUACAGCUACUCUGGUAGUGAUCCCAGCUAUGAGAAGGAGUUUGAAAAGCGGUUUGAGAUAACAAGAGAAGACACAAUGAGAGGAGCUCUGAUUAUUAAAAGUCUAAAUCUAUCAGACUCGGCUGUGUAUUUCUGCGCUGCCAGUACACAGUGAUGUGGUUUAAUGCCUCUCCCUCACUAAAACCCUGCUCUCAUUUUUCUCUGGUGUGUUCAUGUUCAAGAUCCUGAGACUGCCUAACAGAUCUCAGCAUGCACAGAGAGAUCAUAAUGUUAAGGACAUUGGGCUGAACAGAUAUAGGCAAAUUCUACAAUGUUGUAGACAUAGCUGAACAUAAAAUAAAAUUAAAAAACAAAUAAGAAGGUAACGUAUGUAAAAUGAUGUGCAUUGCACUACAAUAUAUAGCAAUAAAUAUGAAACUUAAAGUAGCGACAGUAAAAGU